AGUACAGGAUGUGCCAAUGCAAUAUUUGGGACAUACUUAUACUAAAAUAUU
rnacentral:miRNA from 1 species